AAUAUUCCAUUGAAGAAAAGUUAACAUAGAAAAAUAAAGAAAAUUAAAGUAUAUACAUAUGUAUGAAAAAUGUAAGUUUUAAUUGGAAUUUAAUAUCUAGAAUUAUGUAUCUAUGGAUACUUGGGUAUGUGAUUGUGGAUGGCAGGAGGGUACAGGUGAAGUUGUGGAGGGGGUUAUAGUGGUAGGAGAAAUAGUUGUGGAAAGGGGUGAGAAGGAUGGAGAAGGAGAAUUGUAUAGGGAAGAAACGGAGGGAGAAGGGGUUUCGGGGCAAUCAUUAUGGAUUGAGUGUAUGUUGGUAGGGGAUGAAGCAUUAUUGUUUGAAGUUGUAGCUUUAAUGUUGUCAUUAGAAUCAUUAGUGUUUGAAGUUUUUUCGAUGUUGAUGUAUUUUUUUGAGUAAGUAUUGUUGUUGGAAGCUGUUACAUUAGCAUAAGAGAAUGGUGAGGGAGUAGAAGGCAUUAGAGAUUUGUAUAAAUUGAUGGCUUCACGCAUCGAACACUUGUGGAUAGUUUUAAUCUUAAGUAUCUCUUUAGACUGGACAAAUUUUGGACAGGCGUUAAAGGAAGAAGGAUGUUCACCAUCGCAGUUAGCACAUUUGACUCUAGAGCAUUCAGUGGGAGGGGUAUGAUUUGGGGGUAGGUUGCAGAUAGCACAAGAUGGGGUCUUAUUACAUCGCUUAGCAGUAUGACCCAGCAACUGACAAUUCUUGUAGCGAAUGGGAUUAGGAUAGUAGGGACGGAUAUCGAGGGUACACCAGGCAACUUCAAUACGACUAGACAAAGUAUAUUUGUCAAAAGUUAAUAAUAAAGCACCAAACAUCAAUUAUUUCGUCAUCAGCAAGCUGACAGAUAAAUGGAGCGUAAAUUGUACCCUUUACUGAGUUCAGAGAGUUGUGAAGAGAUAUCUCAACAGCACCAGCUCCGGGAAGAUGUUUGGACCCGGGGAUAAUAGUGCAAACCUAUUAUCCCCCAGCCUGUUGGCCCCAGGGGGCAUUGCGAAAGAAUUUACGUUCUUACCCGAUUAAAUUGUGGAUUUAACUUUAUAAUGAAAAGUAUAAAAAACACGUGGAAAGUGUAACGAAUUGAAGCUCAAAAUGUCAAAGCUAGGUUAAAUUGCGUGUACACCUAGUAAAGAGAAGUUAUGCAGCGAGUACGUACAUAUACAUAAGUAUGUGCGCUCGAUAUGAAAAAAUCAACAGUACACAACCACGAACAACGAACGAAUGUGUUUUAUAAUAUUAUAAUCUAGCUUUACUUAUCUGUGUUUAGUAAAUAUAAAUCACAUAUUAUUCAUAUUAAAGUGUUCACAUACUCAGUUAUAACCUGAAAAAUGUUAGAAAAAUUUUUUUAUAGUUAAUAAAGAGA